rnacentral:rRNA from 2 species
AGCGGCAGACGGGUGAGUAACGCGUGGGAACCUAUCCAUCGGUACGGAAUAGCUCCGGGAAACUGGAAUUAAUACCGUAUGCGCCCUACGGGGGAAAGAUUUAUCGCCGAUGGCCGGGCCCGCGUUGGAUUAGCUAGUAGGUUGGGUAAUGGCUGACCUAGGCGACGAUCCAUAGCUGGUCUGAGAGGAUGAUCAGCCACACUGGGACUGAGACACGGCCCAGACUCCUACGGGAGGCAGCAGUGGGGAAUAUUGGACAAUGGGGGCAACCCUGAUCCAGCCAUGCCGCGUGAGUGAUGACGGCCUUAGGGUUGUAAAGCUCUUUCAGCAGUGAAGAUAAUGACAUUAUCUGCAGAAGAAGCCCCGGCUAACUUCGUGCCAGCAGCCGCGGUAAUACGAAGGGGGCUAGCGUUGUUCGGAAUCACUGGGCGUAAAGCGCGCGUAGGCGGAUUGAUAAGUUAGGGGUGAAAUCCCGAGGCUCAACCUCGGAACUGCCUUUGAUACUGUCAGUCUUGAGUUCGAGAGAGGUGAGUGGAACUCCGAGUGUAG